UCAUUGCUAAAUUGAUAUUGUAUUCUUUGUAAGUAAGUUUAUUGUUUCUUUGUCAUUAUAAACGCAAAUAGCGUUCAGCAUCAUCGAUCUUUCACGUGACCUCUGGCCUGGAUUUAAAAUUUUUACCGGUAUUUUCGAGUGCAUGGCGGCACGGAUUCAUUCGUUCGUGCGCUCAGGCUGGUUGCUUCUUUUUCGCUAAAACUAGUUUAUUGCGCUUCGAUGUCACGCGUUAUUUAACCUGGGGUGAAGUGACGUGUUUGCAAGCGGACAUGCAAGCCCGAAAGUUGGGUAUCGGUCGUGAGCCAUUCGGAACACGUCUGCAUCGAAACGGGAGCUGGAUUCUGGUGCGGCUGACAACGGCAAUAACGACAUGCAGUAAUGAGGAUGGCACCAGUAUAAAGCAACACACUCCACACACUAAACAGAAGCUGCUGCCUGCUACAACAAGGCCAUUGUGUGGACAUUGGCUGCUACUACAAGAGUCCAUGCCAAGCAUACCUUGGUCAUCACAGGAGCUCCUAUCCACACCAACAGAAAGGGGCUGGAGCUGAAUUUGCAAGGCUUUUACACCACGAACAAAGAAGCGCAUGCAGAAGAAUUUACAUGAGAUAUCAAGUCUGCAGAGCACUGUGUCAAGACUGAAAAGAGCUUCAGCCACCAUUCCACCAGCGCGGACAAAUUGGCUGAGUCAUCCAGGUAACUCAAAAAGGACUUUAUGGAAAUUCUUCGUCUCCAGAUGUGCCUGCAACGUCUGAUCAAGCACGGACGAAGCUGGCCAAAAGAGUUCCAUCAGUUUGCCCUUAAUCAGCUUCCUGGCCAUGUCAAUUCCAUUUGUGCCAAGUGUAAUUUUUCUUCUAUAAAUGCAAGCUUUUUCAUUGUCCAUUCUUGUUAGAGAUCAUUCAUCCUCAUCCAAACAUAAAGGUCAACCGAUUCUUCGCUGAUACUUAAUACCAGUCACUGUCUAGUAGCAUAACAUAUUUGUAGCAGUACCUUUUAAUGCAUGUUGUCAUGCACAAUUCCUCUCCUGAAAUAGCUGAUGCAACAUCGACAUGUUUCUUGCAUUAACCUACGCACUGUUUGCUAUGCACCAUUUUACUUUUCUUGAUGUUUUUGGCCUUCAGUGCUUGCAGAGCAGGGUGGCUUCUCUCUUGAAUGCAAGCUUUCUCAUUUUCCAUAUUCCUAGUCUCGUUGAUGGUUGCUCUUCUUCCUCGAUAGCCUGGGUCUUUGCGCAAGCUACACUGAAUGAUAGAUUGCAGAAUCUGGUUUUGCUGCCCCACUUGGUUGUGGUCGCCGUGUUCAUUUCUCGGAUGUGGGGGCCUGCUCAGUUACAUUGGUAAGCAGUCUCUCGAGGUAAACAUUUGCUCCUGCAGUCCGCACAGCGGCAUAGACUCCCAAUUUACACACCAUGAUUCGUGCUCCCCGUUCAGCCUUUCCUGCUGCAGCCAUGUGCAAAUUGUGCCUGCGGCCUUUCUCAGUCGCAAUUAAGCACGAACGGAGACAAGCAUACGUGCUUACAUGGUCCAACGUGUUUGAAGUUCAUAGCCACAUGGGUGGAAAGGCCCGCAUAAAUGGCUGCCGAAGGUGAUGCCCACGAAAGCGACUUGUCCAUAUUGAGACAAAGUGGGACGCCAAAUGUGAGCCACACAUUAGUGGCCCUCGACAGAAAAGAAACAUGCAGGUUGAAAGGAGUUAACGCUAAAAUGCCGGAUAGUCCAUUUCGCUGUGUUGGUUGUGGCAGCAGAUGCCUGCAUCACCUGAUUUCUUCGCAAUGGAAGUUGCUCAUCUUCAACGGCAACUGUCGGUUCAAACAGGUGCGACGCUCUGUCCAAUCUGUUUGUACUGCUGUUUGCCGCUCGUUACCAGACCACCACAUGCGACGAAGGCAAGCAUUAUGCCUGUAAGUAGGCGGCUGAAUGUAUCCUAAGAGACCCGUGUAUGUGAAUGCUCACUGUUGCCAUAUGGUUUGUAGCCAAUGUAUAACGUAUUCUCUGAACACUAUGUGGUGAAUGACUGCCGUUUAUUUUUGCUGUUAUCUCACUUGGUUACGGUUGCCGUAUUAUGCUUAUCGGAUGUGGGGGCCUGGUCAGUUGCAUUGGAAAACAGUCUCUCGAGGUAAGCAUUUGCUCCUGCAGCCCGCACAGCGGCAUAGACUCCCAAUUUACACACCAAGAUUCGUGCUCCCCGUUCAGCCUUUCCUGCUGCAGCCAUGUGCAAAUUGUGCCUGCGGCCUUUCUCAGUCGCAAUUAAGCACGAACGGAGACAAGCAUACGUGCUUACAUGGUCCAACGUGUUUAAGUUCAUAGCCACAUGGGUGGAAAGGCCCGCAUAAAUGGCUGCCGAAGGUGAUGCCCACGAAAGCGACUUGUCCAUAUUGAGACAAAGUGGGACGCCAAAUGUGAGCCACACAUUAGUGGCCCUCGACAGAAAAGAAACAUGCAGGUUGGAAAGGAGUUAACGCUAAAAUGCCGGAUAGUCCAUUUCGCUGUGUUGGUUGUGGCAGCAGAUGCCUGCAUCACCUGAUUUCUUCGCAAUGGAAGUUGCUCAUCUUCAACGGCAACUGUCGGUUCAAACAGGUGCGACGCUCUGUCCAAUCUGUUUGUACUGCUGUUUGUCGCUCGUUACCAGACCACCACAUGCGACGAAGGCAAGCAUUAUGCCUGUAAGUAGGCGGCUGAAUGUAUCCUAAGAGACCCGUGUAUGUGAAUGCUCACUGUUGCCAUAUGGUUUGUAGCCAAUGUAUAACGUAUUCUCUGAACACUAUGUGGUGAAUGAUUGCCGUUUAUUUUUACUGUUAUCUCACUUGGUUACGGUCGCCGUGUUAUGCUUAUCGGAUGUGGCGGCCUGGUCAGUUGCACUGGAAAGCAGUUUCUCGAAGUAAGCAUUUGCUCCUGCAAUCUGCACAGCGACAUAGACUCCCAAUUUACACACCGCGAUUCGUGCUCCCCGUUCACGUUCAGCCUUUCCUGCUGCAGCCAUGGGCAAAUUGUGCCUGUUGCCUUUCUCGGCCGCGAUUAAGCACGAACGGAGACCGGCAUACGUGCUUACAUGGUCCGACGUGUGUGAAGUUGGGUGCAAAGGCCCGCAAAAGUGGCUGAUGAAGGGGAUGCCCACGAAAGCGACUUGUCCAUAUUGAGACAAUGUGGGACACCAAGUGCGAGCCACACAUUAGCGGCCUCCGAAAGAAAAGUAACGUGCAGGUUGUAAAGGAGUUAAGGCUAAAAUGCCGGGUAGUCCAUGUCGCUGUGUUGGCUGCGGCAGCAGAUGCCUGGUUCACCCGAUUGUUUCGCAGUGCAAGUUGCUCAUCUUUAACGGCGACUGCCGCUGCAAACAGGCGGGACACUGACCAAUCUGCAUGAGCCGCUGGUUGUCGCUCGUUACUAGACCGCCAUGUGUGACGACGACGGUGAGCCGUUUACGAGCUCGCGUCAAAGAUUCCAUUGUAUCUCGACAUACAAAUUUUAUUUCUGCUAUUGCACGAGAAUGUACAUACACUGCUUGUCUUCUGCCAAUAAAGUCGCACGUUCUGUUCACUCA